UUUAACAUAUAGACUUAAAAUAUUUAUCAACUAAUACUUACAUUUUGUACAUUUUCCUUUUUUUCCCAUUUGUUGAGAAAACUCUUGAGAAUUCAAAAAAUUAUCUCCUUAAGGUACCACCACAAGAAAAUUUUCAUUUAGAAAAGUGUCUACAUAGUAUACAUUAGAGUAAGCUUUCUGAUAGAAAAUAAUAUAUUUAUCACUUCACUCAGAAUCUAAAAAAAAUCAAAUCUCUAGGAUGCUCUAAAAAUAUGUGUUGUUUUAUUUAAGUAAAAUUAAUAAAUUAAUAACAAUAACUUUUGAAAACAACUACUUAAUAACUCAAUUAAUAAAGAUCUAAAUUAUCUAUGUAUUUCAAUCCGAAAAAUAAAUUUAAAUUAAAAUCAUACAUUUUAAAGUCAACAUGGGUUUGUCUAU